GACAGAGGUGCCAAGCGUUAGGCGGAAUCACUGGGCUUAAAGCGUGUGUAGGCGGACUGGUAAGUACCUUGUGAAAUCCCACGGCUCAACCGUGGAACUGCUCGGUAUACUGCUUGUCUUGAGCCACUUAGGGGCUGUCGGAACAACGGUGGAGCGGUGAAAUGCGUAGAUAUCGUUUGGAACGCCAAUGGUGAAAACAGACAGCUGGGAGUGUGCUGACGCUGAGAGACGAAAGCUAGGGGAGCGAAAUGGG
rnacentral:rRNA from 1 species